UCCCAGAUCGGGCAUGGCCCAACGUCCCAACC
rnacentral:piRNA from 1 species